rnacentral:rRNA from 1 species
GACGAACGCUGGCGGCGUGCCUAAUACAUGCAAGUAGAACGCACAGUUUAUACCGUAGCUUGCUACACCAUAAACUGUGAGUUGCGAACGGGUGAGUAACGCGUAGGUAACCUGCCUGGUAGCGGGGGAUAACUAUUGGACACGAUAGCUAAUACCGCAUAAUAUUGAUUAUUGCAUGAUAAUUGAUUGAAAGAUGCUAUUGCAUCACUACCAGCUGGACCUGCGUUGUAUUAGCUAGUAGGUGAGGUAACGGCUCACCUAGGCGACGAUACAUAGCCGACCUGAGAGGGUGAUCGGCCACACUGGGACUGAGACACGGCCCAGACUCCUACGGGAGGCAGCAGUAGGGAAUCUUCGGCAAUGGACGAAAGUCUGACCGAGCAACGCCGCGUGAGUGAAGAAGGGUUUCGGAUCGUAAAGCUCGGUUGUAAGAGAAGAACGGGUGUGAGAGUGGAAAGUUCACACUGUGACGGUAUCUUACCAGAAAGGGACGGCUAACUACGUG